GGGCGUAUAGCUCAGUGGUAAAGUAUUCAACUGCAGUUUGAGAGGCCUCCGGUUCAAACCCGGGUAUCCCCU